rnacentral:ncRNA from 1 species
UUAAUGGAGAGUUUGAUCCUGGCUCAGGACGAACGCUGGCGGCGUGCCUAAUACAUGCAAGUCGAGCGGAUUUAUUCCUUCGGGGAUAGGUUAGCGGCGGACGGGUGAGUAACACGUAGGCAACCUGCCUGUAAGAUCGGGAUAACUACCGGAAACGGUAGCUAAGACCGGAUAGCUGGUUUCUUCGCAUGGAGAGAUCAUGAAACAUGGGGC